rnacentral:rRNA from 1 species
UGCGUAGGCGGCCCUGUAAGACCGGUGUGAAAUCCCCGGGCUCAACCUGGGAAUUGCGCUGGUGACUGCAGGGCUAGAGUACGGUAGAGGGGGGUGGAAUUCCUGGUGUAGCAGUGAAAUGCGUAGAGAUCAGGAGGAACACCGAUGGCGAAGGCAGCCCCCUGGGCCUGUACUGACGCUCAUGCACGAAAGCGUGGGGAGCAAACA